rnacentral:rRNA from 1 species
CGGAGGGUGCAAGCGUUAUCCGGAUUCACUGGGUUUAAAGGGUGCGUAGGUGGGCAGGUAAGUCAGUGGUGAAAUCUCCGGGCUUAACCCGGAAACUGCCAUUGAUACUAUUUGUCUUGAAUACUGUGGAGGUCAGCGGAAUAUGUCAUGUAGCGGUGAAAUGCUUAGAUAUGACAUAGAACACCAAUUGCGAAGGCAGCUGGUUACACAAAUAUUGACACUGAGGCACGAAAGCGUGGGGAUCAAACAGGAUCAGAUACCCUGGUAGUCCACGCCCUAAACUAUGGAUACUCGACAUUUGCGAUAAACUGCAAGUGUCUGAGCGAAAGCAUUAAGUAUCCCACCUGGGAAGUACGAUCGCAAGAUUG